GGCAGACGGGUGAGUAACACGUGGGAACCUGCCCUUUGGUAUGGAAUAGCUCUUGGAAACGAGAAUUAAUGCCGUAUAAGCCCCUCACUGGAGACUUUGAGGGGGAAAGAUUUAUCGCCAAAGGAUGGGCCCGCGCUAGAUUAGGUAGUUGGUGGGGUAAUGGCCUACCAAGCCUACGAUCUAUAGCUGGUUGGAGAGGAUGAUCAGCCACACUGGAACUGAGACACGGUCCAGACUCCUACGGGAGGCAGCAGUGGGGAAUCUUGCACAAUGGGCGAAAGCCUGAUGCAGCCAUGCCGCGUGUGUGAAGAAGGCCCUAGGGUUGUAAAGCACUUUCAGUGGUGAAGAUAAUGACGGUAACCACAGAAGAAGCCCCGGCUAACUCCGUGCCAGCAGCCGCGGUAAUACGGAGGGGGCUAGCGUUGUCCGGAAUUACUGGGCGUAAAGCGCUCGUAGGCGGAUUGAUCAGUCAGAGGUGAAAGCCCGGGGCUCAACCCCGGAAUUGCCUUUGAUACUGUCAGUCUUGAGUUCGAGAGAGGUGAGUGGAAUUCC
rnacentral:rRNA from 1 species